ACAGGGAUUGCCUCAGUAACGGCGAGUGAAGCGGCAACAGCUCAAAUUUGAAAUCUGGCUCCUUCGGGGCCCGAGUUGUAAUUUGUAGAGGGUGCUUUGGCGUUGGCCCUGGCCUAAGUUCCUUGGAACAGGACGUCACAGAGGGUGAGAACCCCGUAUGUGGCCGUCGGCCUUCGCCGUGUAAAGCCCCUUCGACGAGUCGAGUUGUUUGGGAAUGCAGCUCUAAAUGGGAGGUAAAUUUCUUCUAAAGCUAAAUAUUGGCCAGAGACCGAUAGCGCACAAGUAGAGUGAUCGAAAGAUGAAAAGCACUUUGGAAAGAGAGUCAAAAAGCACGUGAAAUUGUUGAAAGGGAAGCGCUUGCAGCCAGACUUGCCUGUAGUUGCUCAUCCAAGCUCCUGCUUGGUGCACUCUUCUGUAGGCAGGCCAGCAUCAGUCCGGGCGGUCGGAUAAAGGCUUUGGGAAUGUAGCUCUCUUCGGGGAGUGUUAUAGCCCAUUGUGUCAUGCGACCAGCCUGGACUGAGGUCCGCGCAUCUGCUAGGAUGCUGGCGUAAUGGCUGUAAGCGGCCCGUCUUGAAACACGGACCAAGGAGUCUAACAUCUAUGCGAGUGUUUGGGUGUCAAGCCCGGGCGCGCAAUGAAAGUGAACGGAGGUGGGAACCCCUCGGGGCGCACCAUCGACCGAUCCUGAUGUCUUCGGAUGGAUUUGAGUAAGAGCAUAGCUGUUGGGACCCGAAAGAUGGUGAACUAUGCCUGAAUAGGGUGAAGCCAGAGGAAACUCUGGUGGAGGCUCGCAGCGGUUCUGACGUGCAAAUCGAUCGUCAAAUUUGGGCAUAGGGGCGAAA
rnacentral:rRNA from 1 species